AAAUCAUUUUGGGGACAAUUUCUAAUCAAUGCUUUGUAGCGUUCCCAUGCUUCGUAAAGUGACUUACCCACCCAGUUGUUGCUUAAAAUUUGGUAUGGCUUUCUUGAGUUU